rnacentral:rRNA from 1 species
CAAUAGCGUAUAUUAAAGUUGUUGCGGUUAAAAAGCUCGUAGUUGGAUUUCUGUCGAAAACAGUCGGUCCGCUCUAUGAGCGUGUAUCUGGUUUGGUUUUGGCAUCCUCGAGGGGUACUGCGCUGUGCUUGAUUGCAUGGCCAGGAAUUCUCGACUUUUACUUUGAGGAAAUUAGAGUGUUCACGGCAGGCAAGCGCCUUGAAUACAUUAGCAUGGAAUAAUAAUAUAGGACUUUGGUUUUAUUUUGUUGGUUUCUAGGACCGAAGUAAUGAUUAAUAGGGACAGUUGGGGGCAUUUUUAUUUCCAUUGUCAGAGGUGAAAUUCUUGGAUUUAUGAAAGAUGAACUUAGGCGAAAGCAUUUACCAAGGAUGUUUUCAUUAAUCAAGAACGAAAGUUAGGGGAUCGAAGACGAUUAGAUACCAU